CCGGCGACCGGCGGACGGGUGCGUAACGCGUAUGUAACCUACCUUUGACAGGGGGAUAACAUCGAGAAAUUGGUACUAAUACCCCAUAACAUCACCGGAGGCAUCUUCGGUGGUUGAAAACUCAGGUGGUCAGAGAUGGACAUGCGUUGUAUUAGCUAGUUGGUGAGGUAACGGCUCACCAAGGCGACGAUACAUAGGGGGACUGAGAGGUCAACCCCCCACAUUGGUACUGAGACACGGCCCAAACUCCUACGGAAGGCAGCAG
rnacentral:rRNA from 1 species